rnacentral:rRNA from 1 species
UAGCCGUAAACGAUACUCGCUAGGUGUCGGCCACGGUGCGACCGUUGUCGGUGCCGUAGGGAAGCCGUGAAGCGAGCCACCUGGGAAGUACGGCCGCAAGGCUGAAACUUAAAGGAAUUGGCGGGGGAGCACAACAACGGGUGGAGCUUGCGGUUUAAUGGAUUCAACGCCGGAAAUCUUACCGGGACCGACAGCAACAUGAAGGCCAAGCUGAAGACUUUGCCGGAUUAGCUGAGAGGAGGUGCAUGGCGUAGUCGUGU